rnacentral:lncRNA from 1 species
UUCUAUCAAACCGUAUAUUAGAUUUUAGAUUUAACCGUUUAUAAGAUUUUAGAGAAACCGUAUAUAAGAUUUUAGAAUUAACCGCUUAUAAGAUUUUAGAGGUGUUAAAACGGACAUUUCUUCGCCUUUAAAAUUACCCCAAAAGGGCAAUAUUACAGUUGCGCAGUCAACUGGGGUUUUUUAACGCUAAUCGAAAGACAGAGCAUUUUUCACCGCCAAAUUUCAGCUUUAUACUAAUUUUGUAUAGGUUUAAACCUAUUUUUUGUUAAUUCUCUCCGAUUAACAUUCUGUUUUUACUAUUUGUGACACUAUUCUGUUUUUACUAUUUGCGACACUAUUUUUUUUGUUACUCAUUGCGACACUACAGUUUUACUAUUUGCGAAACUAUUCCGUUUUUACUUUUAGCAACGUUAUUUUGUUUUUUAUUCUUUGCGAAAUUAUUGCGUUUUUACUAUUUGCGACACUAUUUCAUUUACAAUUUGCAACACUGUUUCUUUUUUGUUUGUUUGAUCUACAUCAUUUUGUAAUUCGUUUCUAAGUAUUUCAACUUUGUCCAGCUUGCAACAGUAUUUAAUUUUUAUUACGUAGAAAAGUUUACAAUGAAGGUCGUUUAUAAACUUUGUGAAUAAAAGCGGUCCAGGUACUGCGCCUUGUAUUACGCCACUAUUGAUUGGACUCCAGUCAGACUGGUUUUCACCAAUUACAACUCGUUGCUAUCUGUUACUUAAGAAAGAUUUAUUCCAUACAACAAAUUUGUUAUUAAAACUAUACGAUUUAACACUAUGGGUAAUGUAUUCAUAUAAUACUCGGCCAAAUGCUUUCGCAAAAUUAGUAAAUAGUUAGUCGACUGGAUGUUUGUUAUGUAAAGCUGUACUAACAUAGUCUUGACACUCUAGCAAAUUUGUGAAAAGGCUCUUUUUUGGCACAAAACCAUGUUAUUGCGACGUGAUAAGAUUAUUUUUUAUUAGAUGUUUCAUCAUGGAGUCACGUAUUAUAUUUUCCUUUAGUUAUAUUAUGACUGAUGUGAACAAUAUUGGGCUGUAAUUACUUGUGAUAUGUCGACUUCCGCUUUCGUGUAAUGAAGUAACACUUGCCUGACACCAUUGCCUCGGUAAUGAACUUAAAUUGAAACUUUUCGUGAAAAUGUUUUUUAGUGGAAUACAAUAUGAUGUUGUACAGUUUUUUGGAACAUAAGGACUUACGCCAUCAAUUCGAAUCAAUUUGUAAAUAUUUAUGUUAUCUAGUUUCUGUAAUACUGUAGUUACACAAAAAAGAACAUCUACUUUAUUGUUUGCUUGAGUUAAGGAUUGGUUCUCAAAAUCAGGAAGUUCAUUGUUUAUACAAUUUGUGAAGACUGAUUAAAAGUGUUUGUUAAAUAUAUUAGCUAUUGUCGUUUGUUUGUGAUUAAAUUGCUGUGUUUAUCUUGUAUUGAAUUGACACUCGAGUUUAAUUUUAAUUUAGAUUUAACAUACAAAAAGAAGUUUUUAGGUUCGUUUUUUUAUCUUAUUUAUUAAUGACAGUUCGAAUUGCAAUUUCUUAUUCUAUAUAUGAAUCCCUUACGUCAAUCAAUGAAGAAACUACUUUAAGAAUGAAAUUUUGCCCUGGUCAAAGUUUGAAAAACUCGUCGUAAAAAAAUUAAUACUAGUGAAGACAAUAGGAUUGAUGGUGAAACUAAUACAUUAUACAUUCCAAGUGGUUCUUAAAUUGCAUAUAAAACAUGUUGAGGUGCUCCCCAUUAAAUUCAGCGUCUAUUUUAGAGAGACCCAGUUAUGGAAUAAAUAAGUUAUAGAAGGUUUCAAAUUCUUUUAAAGCAACUUAAACUUAUUUGGGAUUUUCCAGUAAUGAAAUUUAUAUUAAUUGCUCAAUAAAUAAUGAAUAUUUGAACAAAUCAACAUACCAAGAUUUAUUUUGCAAAGCUAUUAAGAAAACAAUUGCCAGAUCUGAUAGAAAUGAAAAAAUAAAUCUAAUAACAUUAACAGCAAAUAGUUGGAAAAUCCAACAAACAAGAGAAUACUUUUCUGAAUGGUUUAAAAAGCGUGUCUAAAGAAUAUUCUCAUGACGAGUAAUCUCGGAUUUGUCCUGGAAAAAAUGAACUUGUUUUGGUGGUCAAAAAGCAACAUAUCGAAAAGCAAUUAUUACUUGUAAAUCUAAGAAAGUUACAUUUAGAAUUUCUAAAAACAGAAGAGAAAAUAGGAUGUUCAAAGUUUUUUCAGCUUUGUCUAUUAUGAUGUGUGACAGGAGAUAGUGUAUCUGGCGUGCAUUUAGUUUGUGUCUGUCAAGUACACCAAAAUUCAAAGUUGAUUACUAUGCAGUGCUCGGUAACAUUGAAUAUAGUUGUGAUAACUGCUCUAAUGCAGAGAACUUAAAGCAAUAUAUAUGUGAUAUCUUCAAUCAACAUGGUUUUAAAUAUGAUGAUAUAGUGCCGUAUAAACAGCGGUUAAAAAAGGAGAACGCUAUUAGAAACUUUAGGAAUUCCGUAAGUGGAGUUUCUUGAAGAAAUUGUUUCUACAAUUAAAACUUGAAAUCACACCAUUUUAUUACAAAGGCACAAUCCUUAUUACUCCUAAUUCUGAAAGAAAAUCUUCAAUAAAACCAAAUUAUUAUUUUGCAUGCUUUUGGAGAAAAUUAUAGUUUUAUAGCAGAAGACGUUGUCCAAGAAUUAUGUAAAAUAAUAGCCAAGCAACACUACAUCCAUUCGUUAUUUACUACAAAGAUUCUAAUAAUAAACUCAAACCAAUAAACUGUUUCUUAAUAUAUAACUGUUUGAAACAUGAUGCUAAUGUUGUUAAUGCAUUUUUUGGCUAGAGUUUCAGAAGAUAUAAAAAUUUUCU